GUUAGUGUCUUAACCACGAAUAAAGAGGCAUUCUAACUAGUUAUGUUAAUUUAUGUAGGACAGUAUCAAAAGGAUUAUGUUAUUAUAUAAGUUCAGGGACUGGAACCUUUUUCUGUGCAUGGUAUGCUUCACAGAAGCAUUGGCUGGCUAACAAUAUAUUGGGCCUUGCAUUUUGCAUUCAAGGAAUUGAAAUGCUUUCACUUGGGUCAUUUAAAACUGGUGCCAUCCUUUUGGCUGGACUUUUUAUAUAUGACAUUUCUGGGUUUUCUUUACCCCUGUGAUGGUUAGUGUUGCAAAAUCAUUUGAUGCUCCUAUAAAGGAAUUGGCAUAGUAGUUCCCCAACCUCUGGAAUGGAUGUCAGCUCUACAUUGAGUGCAUGCCUAAUAUGUAGAAAGGUUUCAUACUUUGUCAUUGCUAGUGUCAUUUGGUAUUCUACAAAAGAAGAAAAACAGGGAAAUUGUUGACAGCGACAAAGCAAA